GUGCUAUACAUGCAGUCGACGAACUCUGGUAUUGAUUGGUGCUUGCAUCAUGAUUUACAUUUGAGUGAGUGGCGAACUGGUGAGUAACACGUGGGAAACCUGCCCAGAAGCGGGGGAUAACACCUGGAAACAGAUGCUAAUACCGCAUAACAACUUGGACCGCAUGGUCCGAGUUUGAAAGAUGGCUUCGGCUAUCACUUUUGGAUGGUCCCGCGGCGUAUUAGCUAGAUGGUGGGGUAACGGCUCACCAUGGCAAUGAUACGUAGCCGACCUGAGAGGGUAAUCGGCCACAUUGGGACUGAGACACGGCCCAAACUCCUACGGGAGGCAGCAGUAGGGAAUCUUCCACAAUGGACGAAAGUCUGAUGGAGCAACGCCGCGUGAGUGAAGAAGGGUUUCGGCUCGUAAAACUCUGUUGUUAAAGAAGAACAUAUCUGAGAGUAACUGUUCAGGUAUUGACGGUAUUUAACCAGAAAGCCACGGCUAACUACGUGCCAGCAGCCGCGGUAAUACGUAGGUGGCAAGCGUUGUCCGGAUUUAUUGGGCGUAAAGCGAGCGCAGGCGGUUUUUUAAGUCUGAUGUGAAAGCCUUCGGCUCAACCGAAGAAGUGCAUCGGAAACUGGGAAACUUGAGUGCAGAAGAGGACAGUGGAACUCCAUGUGUAGCGGUGAAAUGCGUAGAUAUAUGGAAGAACACCAGUGGCGAAGGCGGCUGUCUGGUCUGUAACUGACGCUGAGGCUCGAAAGUAUGGGUAGCAAACAGGAUUAGAUACCCUGGUAGUCCAUACCGUAAACGAUGAAUGCUAAGUGUUGGAGGGUUUCCGCCCUUCAGUGCUGCAGCUAACGCAUUAAGCAUUCCGCCUGGGGAGUACGGCCGCAAGGCUGAAACUCAAAGGAAUUGACGGGGGCCCGCACAAGCGGUGGAGCAUGUGGUUUAAUUCGAAGCUACGCGAAGAACCUUACCAGGUCUUGACAUACUAUGCAAAUCUAAGAGAUUAGACGUUCCCUUCGGGGACAUGGAUACAGGUGGUGCAUGGUUGUCGUCAGCUCGUGUCGUGAGAUGUUGGGUUAAGUCCCGCAACGAGCGCAACCCUUAUUAUCAGUUGCCAGCAUUAAGUUGGGCACUCUGGUGAGACUGCCGGUGACAAACCGGAGGAAGGUGGGGAUGACGUCAAAUCAUCAUGCCCCUUAUGACCUGGGCUACACACGUGCUACAAUGGAUGGUACAACGAGUUGCGAACUCGCGAGAGUAAGCUAAUCUCUUAAAGCCAUUCUCAGUUCGGAUUGUAGGCUGCAACUCGCCUACAUGAAGUCGGAAUCGCUAGUAAUCGCGGAUCAGCAUGCCGCGGUGAAUACGUUCCCGGGCCUUGUACACACCGCCCGUCACACCAUGAGAGUUUGUAACACCCAAAGUCGGUGGGGUAACCUUUUAGGAACCAGCCGCCUAAG
rnacentral:rRNA from 2 species